rnacentral:rRNA from 1 species
CCUACGGGAGGCAGCAGUCGAGAAUCAUUCACAAUGGGGGAAACCCUGAUGGUGCGACGCCGCGUGGGGGAAUGAAGGUCUUCGGAUUGUAAACCCCUGUCAUGUGGGAGCAAAUUAAAAAGAUAGUACCACAAGAGGAAGAGACGGCUAACUCUGUGCCAGCAGCCGCGGUAAUACAGAGGUCUCAAGCGUUGUUCGGAAUCACUGGGCGUAAAGCGUGCGUAGGCUGUUUCGUAAGUCGUGUGUGAAAGGUGCGGGCUCAACCCGCGGACGGCACAUGAUACUGCGAGACUAGAGUAAUGGAGGGGGAAGCGGAAUUCUCGGUGGAGCAGUGAAAUGCGUAGAUAUCGAGAGGAACACUCGUGGCGAAGGCGGGUUCCUGGACAUUAACUGACGCUGAGGCACGAAGGCCAGGGGAGCGAAAGGGAUUAGAUACCCGUGUAGUC